AGAGUUUGAUCCUGGCUCAGGAUGAACGCUAGCGGGAGGCUUAACACAUGCAAGUCGAGGGGCAGCAUUCACUUCGGUGAGAUGGCGACCGGCGCACGGGUGCGUAACGCGUAUGCAACCUACCUUAUACAGGGGGAUAGCCCAUGGAAACGUGGAUUAAUACCCCAUAGUACUAUAUACCUGCAUAGGUCAAUAGUUAAAACUUCGGUGGUAUAAGAUGGGCAUGCGUAUGAUUAGGUAGUUGGUGGGGUAAUGGCCCACCAAGCCGACGAUCAUUAGGGGUUCUGAGAGGAUUAUCCCCCACACUGGUACUGAGACACGGACCAGACUCCUACGGGAGGCAGCAGUGAGGAAUAUUGGUCAAUGGGCGAGAGCCUGAACCAGCUAUCCCGCGUGCAGGAUGACGGCCCUAUGGGUUGUAAACUGCUUUUCUACGCCAAGAAAUGUUGCUACGUGUAGCAAUUUGACGGUAGCGUAGAAUAAGACCGCUAACU
rnacentral:rRNA from 1 species